rnacentral:rRNA from 1 species
GACGAACGCUGGCGGCGUGCCUAAUACAUGCAAGUAGAACGCUGAAGGAGGAGCUUGCUCUUCUGGAUGAGUUGCGAACGGGUGAGUAACGCGUAGGUAACCUGCCUGGUAGCGGGGGAUAACUAUUGGAAACGAUAGCUAAUACCGCAUAACAGUAGAUGUUGCAUGACAUUUGCUUAAAAGGUGCAAUUGCAUCCCUACCAGAUGGACCUGCGUUGUAUUAGCUAGUUGGUGGGGUAACGGCUCACCAAGGCGACGAUACAUAGCCGACCUGAGAGGGUGAGCGGCCACACUGGGACUGAGACACGGCCCAGACUCCUACGGGAGGCAGCAGUAGGGAAUCUUCGGCAAUGGACGGAAGUCUGACCGAGCAACGCCGCGUGAGUGAAGAAGGUUUUCGGAUCGUAAAGCUCUGUUGUAAGAGAAGAACGAGUGUGAGAGUGGAAAGUUCACACUGUGACGGUAUCUUACCAGAAAGGGACGGCUAACUACGUG